rnacentral:rRNA from 1 species
AGUGAACGCUGGCGGUAGGCCUAACACAUGCAAGUCGAACGGCAGCACAGUAAGAGCUUGCUCUUACGGGUGGCGAGUGGCGGACGGGUGAGGAAUACAUCGGAAUCUACUUUUUCGUGGGGGAUAGCGUAGGGAAACUUACGCUAAUACCGCAUACGACCUACGGGUGAAAGCAGGGGAUCUUCGGACCUUGCGCGAUUGAAUGAGCCGAUGUCGGAUUAGCUAGUUGGCGGGGUAAAGGCCCACCAAGGCGACGAUCCGUAGCUGGUCUGAGAGGAUGAUCAGCCACACUGGAACUGAGACACGGUCCAGACUCCUACCGGAGGCAGCAGUGGGGAAUAUUGGACAAAGGGCGCAAGCCUGAUCCAGCCAUACCGCGUGGGUGAAGAAGGCCUUCGGGUUGUAAAGCCCUUUUGUUGGGAAAGAAAAGCAGCAGGUUAAUACCCCGCUGUUCUGACGGUACCCAAAGAAUAAGCACCGGCUAACUUCGUG